GAUGAACGCUGGCGGCGUGCCUAACACAUGCAAGUCGAGCGCGAUUGAUUGGACUGGAGACUUUCGGUCAAAGGGAAGGUCAUGAAAGCGGCGGACGGGUGAGUAACGCGUGAGCAACCUGCCUUGUACAGGGGGAUAGCCACUGGAAACGGUGAUUAAUACCUCAUAACUCUAUCGGACCGCAUGGUCUGAUGGACAAAGCCUUGGCGGUACAGGAUGGGCUCGCGUCUGAUUAGCUAGUUGGUGAGGUAACGGCUCACCAAGGCUUCGAUCAGUAGCCGACCUGAGAGGGUGAACGGCCACACUGGAACUGGAGACACGGUCCAGACUCCUACGGGUGGCUG
rnacentral:rRNA from 1 species